UACACACAGAGAGAAAGAAUGGGUGGUGUGGUUAUGAUCAUAGUGUUUGUUUUGUUCAAUAUUUCUUCACUUUCAUUUGUGAAUUCUGUUUCUUCAUCAUCUCUUUCAGUGGGGUUUUAUGAUGAAUCAUGCCCUCGAGUUGAGGAUAUUAUAUAUGAAGAACUUGUGAAAAAGAUGUCUCCAAUUCCUCGCAACGUCACCAUACCGGGUACUCUUAGGCUGUUCUUCCAUGAUUGCUAUGUUCAGGGUUGUGAUGGUUCUGUUGUGAUCUUACCAACAGAUGACAAUAAUUCUGAGAGAAACGCAUCUAUCAACCUUUCUUUAGCUGGAGAUGCAUAUGAUAUUGUUGACAAGGCUAAGGCAGCGUUGGAAAAAAAAUGUCCGGGGGUGGUCUCAUGAUCGGACAUCCUUGCUAUCUUGGCACGUGAUGUCGUACACUGGUGGGAAGGUCCGCACUGGGAGGUUGAGAAAGGAAGAAGAGAUGGACUCAUCUCCAAUGCAACAGAAGCUCAACUACUCAUGCCAAAGUCUGACGAAAACAUAACAACUCUCAUCCGUUGAUUUGAAUCUAUUGGACUAUCAACUGCCAAUCUCGUCACAUUAUCUGGGGCACACACAAUAGGUUUCACACAUUGUAUAGAAUUUGCUAGUCAUAUCUUCCACAACCACAGCACAUUGAACUCUACAAUAAGAGAGAAGGUAACUUUUUGCUGAAGCACUUGAUCCAAAAUUCUGAGUUUGUGUUUGAUAAUAAGUUUUUUAAGAGCUUGCGGCAAAGGAAAGGCUUGCUCUUGACAGACCAUGUAUUGGCUUUUGGUGAAAAUGAUCUCUCUCGUAAAUUAGUUUAUAGGUACUCCAAAGACCAAGAAUUGUUCUUUCAGGAAUUUGCAAAAGCCAUGGUGAAAUUGGGAAGAGUUGGUGUUAAGACUGGAAAUGAGGGAGAAAUUAGAAUGAUUGCAAGAAAUUCAACUGAUUUUGUUGUAUUUGGAUAGAUUUAUCAAUUACCAUGUCACUGUGGGCAUAAUAAGAGGGUAAUUUUUAUUGUUUGA